rnacentral:rRNA from 1 species
UACGAAGGGGGCUAGCGUUGCUCGGAAUCACUGGGCGUAAAGGGCGCGUAGGCGGACUCUUAAGUCGGGGGUGAAAGCCCAGGGCUCAACCCUGGAAUUGCCUUCGAUACUGAGAGUCUUGAGUUCGGAAGAGGUUGGUGGAACUGCGAGUGUAGAGGUGAAAUUCGUAGAUAUUCGCAAGAACACCAGUGGCGAAGGCGGCCAACUGGUCCGAUACUGACGCUGAGGCGCGAAAGCGUGGGGAG